AUGAGCACACGUGCUAUUCUUUCCACCAAGAACGAUCAUGUCGAUGACCUGAAUGACAAGAUGAUCUCCAGGUUUCCAGGCUCAGAAAAGUUAUACCAUAACUGCUCGGUCAUUCUGCUCCGGAACCUCGACCCUCAUAAUGGCCUAUGCAAUGGGACACGACUUAUGAUUAGAGCCUUCCAGGAUAAUGCAAUCGACGCAGAGAUUGUUGGUGGUCAGCAUGCUGGAAAGAGGGUCUUCAUACCUAGGAUCCCUAUGUCGCCCUCGGAGGACAUCUCACUUCCUUUCAAACUUAAGAGGAAACAGUUCCCCAUUCGCCUGAGUUUUGCGAUGACAAUUAACAAGGCGCAGGGUCAGACUAUCCCAAACGUCGGUAUUUACCUUCCCGAGCCAGUAUUCUCACAUGGUCAGCUAUAUGUUGCAUUGUCAAGGGGAGUGUCCAGAGAGACGACGCGGAUUUUGGCCAAGCCAAACAACGAGGUUGAUAAAUCUGGGAAAAUCUUA
rnacentral:rRNA from 1 species